AGAGUUUGAUCCUGGCUCAGAAUGAACGUUGGCGGCGUGGAUUAGGCAUGCAAGUCGAGCGCGAUAUUUUUGAAAGAUACUUCGGUUGAUUUCUUGAAUGGAAAGCGGCGAAAGGGAGAGUAACGAGUAGAUACGUACCCAGGGGUUCGGGAUAGCCAUGCGAAAGCGUGAGUAAUACCGAAUAAUGUCUCCGGACCAAAAAUUUAUUGCCCUUGGAGCGGUCUGCUUACUAUUAGCUUGUUGGUGGGGUAAAAGCCUACCAAGGCGAAGAUGGUUAGCGGGUGUGAGAGCGUGGCCCGUCUCACUGGGACUGAGACACUGCCCAGACAUCUACGGAUGGCUGCAGUCGAGAAUCUUCCGCAAUGGACGAAAGUCUGACGGAGCGACGCCGCGUGAUGGACGAAGGCCCUCGGGUUGUAAACAUCUGUCGUAGGGGAGGAAAUUUUGACCGAUCCUAGGAGGAAGCACAGGCUAAGUUCGUGCCAGCAGCCGCGGUAAUACGAACUGUGCAAACGUUAUUCGGAAUCACUGGGCUUAAAGGGUGCGUAGGCGGGUUAGUAGGUCAGAUGUGAAAUCCCACGGCUCAACCGUGGAAUUGCGUUUGAAACCACUAGUCUUGAGGGGAUCAGAGGAGAGCGGAACUGAUGGUGGAGCGGUGAAAUGCGUUGAUAUUAUCAGGAACACCGGUGGCGAAGGCGGCUCUCUGGGAUCUUUCUGACGCUGAGGCACGAAAGCUAGGGGAGCGAACGGGAUUAGAUACCCCGGUAGUCCUAGCUGUAAACGAUCUGUACUAGUCCGUGGGGACCCCCACAUCUUCUCGGACGUAGCGAAAGUGUUAAGUACAGCGCCUGGGGAGUAUGGUCGCAAGGCAA
rnacentral:rRNA from 1 species